UUGUGAAAAUCUUAACUUAAUACAGCUUCACAGUAAAUCUUAAUCUGUUUUUGCAAUCCUCUCCCAGGGCCCCAAGUGGGUCAGCAGGGAAGGUGGGUGAUGCUACUUCUCUGCCCUCCCAGUGCCAUGGGAUAGAAGAGCUAAUGAAGAGGGAGCAAAAAGUGGGUGAUGAUACUUCUCUGCCCUCCCAGUGCCAGGGGAUAGAAGAGCUAAUGAAGAGGGAGCAAAAGAGAAGUGGAGGACUUCUUCCCCUCGGGACACUGAAACCUUCCACCUCAGCCUUUCUCCCACGGCCAUGUAGAUGAUCCCAACUUGGAGCCAGGAACAUUCCUCUUUCCAACUCUGUGCUACAACGAUGUUCUGAUGCAGUUAAUGUUCAAACACAUUGGCUUGGAAUACCCUCACGAAAGCAAGAACCCAUGUGAGCAAAGGGGAGGACACUUCUACAGGACCACAAACAAGUAAGAGAAAUUAGCAGUGGGAGAGUAUUUUCAGGGGGCAAGGAUAAGACAAUGAUGAGACAAGCUUUCCCAGAUUGAUUC
rnacentral:lncRNA from 1 species